UACGUAGGUGGCAAGCGUUGUCCGGAAUUAUUGGGCGUAAAGCGCGCGCAGGUGGGAAGAUAAGUCUGUCGUAAAAGAACAGAGCUCAACUCUGUUAAGCGAUGGAAACUGUCUUUCUUGAGUACAGGAGAGGAAAGUGGAAUUCCCAGUGUAGCGGUGAAAUGCGUAGAUAUUGGGAGGAACACCAGUGGCGAAGGCGGCUUUCUGGACUGUGUCUGACACUGAGGCGCGAAAGCUAGGGAAGUGAACGGGAUUAGAUACCCCGGUAAUCCUAGCCGUAAACGAUGGGUACUAGGUGUAGGAGGUAUCGAACCCUUCUGUGCCGGAGUUAACGCAAUAAGUACCCCGCCUGGGGAGUACGGCCGCAAGGUUGAA
rnacentral:rRNA from 1 species